rnacentral:rRNA from 1 species
UACAGAGGUCCCAAGCGUUGUUCGGAUUUACUGGGCGUAAAGGGCGCGUAGGCGGCCACCGCAAGUCGAUUGUGAAAUCUCCGGGCUUAACCCGGAAAGGUCAACCAAUACUGCGGGGCUAGAGUGCAGAAGGGGCAACUGGAAUUCUCGGUGUAGCGGUGAAAUGCGUAGAUAUCGAGAGGAACACCUGCGGCGAAGGCGGGUUGCUGGGCUGACACUGACGCUGAGGCGCGAAAGCUAGGGGAGCGAACGGG